rnacentral:rRNA from 1 species
GUUAGCGGCGGACGGGUGAGUAACACGUGGGUAACCUGCCUGUAAGACUGGGAUAACUCCGGGAAACCGGGGCUAAUACCGGAUGGUUGUUUGAACCGCAUGGUUCAGACAUAAAAGGUGGCUUCGGCUACCACUUACAGAUGGACCCGCGGCGCAUUAGCUAGUUGGUGAGGUAACGGCUCACCAAGGCAACGAUGCGUAGCCGACCUGAGAGGGUGAUCGGCCACACUGGGACUGAGACACGGCCCAGACUCCUACGGGAGGCAGCAGUAGGGAAUCUUCCGCAAUGGACGAAAGUCUGACGGAGCAACGCCGCGUGAGUGAUGAAGGUUUUCGGAUCGUAAAGCUCUGUUGUUAGGGAAGAACAAGUGCCGUUCAAAUAGGGCGGCACCUUGACGGUACCUAACCAGAAAGCCACGGCUAACUACGUGCCAGCAGCCCGCGGUAAUACGUAGGUGGCAAGCGUUGUCCGGAAUUAUUGGGCGUAAAGGGCUCGCAGGCGGUUUCUUAAGUCUGAUGUGAAAGCCCCCGGCUCAACCGGGGGAGGGUCAUUGGAAACUGGGGAACUUGAGUGCAGAAGAGGAGAGUGGAAUUCCACGUGUAGCGGUGAAAUGCGUAGAGAUGUGGAGGAACACCAGUGGCGAAGGCGACUCUUCUGGUCUGUAACUGACGCUGAGGAGCGAAAGCGUGGGGAGCGAACAGGAUUAGAUACCCUGGUAGUCCACGCCGUAAACGAUGAGUGCUAAGUGUUAGGGGGGUUUCCGCCCCUUAGUGCUGCAGCUAACGCAUUAAGCACUCCGCCUGGGGAGUACCGGUCGCAAGACUGAAACUCAAAGGAAUUGACGGGGGCCCGCACAAGCGGUGGAGCAUGUGGUUUAAUUCGAAGCAACGCGAAGAACCUUACCAGGUCUUGACAUCCUCUGACAAUCCUAGAGAUAGGACGUCCCCUUCGGGGGCAGAGUGACAGGUGGUGCAUGGUUGUCGUCAGCUCGUGUCGUGAGAUGUUGGGUUAAGUCCCCGCAACGAGCGCAACCCUUGAUCUUAGUUGCCAGCAUUCAGUUGGGCACUCUAAGGUGACUGCCGGUGACAAACCGGAGGAAGGUGGGGAUGACGUCAAAUCAUCAUGCCCCUUAUGACCUGGGCUACACACGUGCUACAAUGGACAGAACAAAGGGCAGCGAAACCGCGAGGUUAAGCCAAUCCCACAAAUCUGUUCUCAGUUCGGAUCGCAGUCUGCAACUCGACUGCGUGAAGCUGGAAUCGCUAGUAAUCGCGGAUCAGCAUGCCCGCGGUGAAUACGUUCCCGGGCCUUGUACACACCGCCCGUCACACCACGAGAGUUUGUAACACCCGAAGUCGGUGAGGUAACCUUUUUGGAGCCAGCCGCCGAAGGUGGGACAGAUGAU